CAGGACGAACGCUGGCGGCACGCUUAACACAUGCAAGUCGAACGGAGAUAUUUGGUUACUGAGAUAUCUAGUGGCGGACGGGUGAGUAACACGUGAGCAACCUGCCUUUGAGAGAGGGAUAGCUUCUGGAAACGGAUGGUAAUACCUCAUGACAUAGUCGAAGGGCAUCCUUUUGCUAUCAAAGAUUUAUCACUCAAAGAUGGGCUCGCGUCUGAUUAGGUAGUUGGUGAGGUAACGGCCCACCAAGCCGACGAUCAGUAGCCGGACUGAGAGGUUGAACGGCCACAUUGGGACUGAGACACGGCCCAGACUCCUACGGGAGGCAGCAGUGGGGAAUAUUGCACAAUGGGGGAAACCCUGAUGCAGCGAUGCCGCGUGGAGGAAGAAGGUUUUCGGAUUGUAAACUCCUGUCUUAAAGGACGAUAAUGACGGUACUUUAGGAGGAAGCUCCGGCUAACUACGUGCCAGCCGCCGC
rnacentral:rRNA from 1 species